AUUGAACGCUGGCGGCAGGCCUAACACAUGCAAGUCGAGCGGAUGAAGGGAGCUUGCUCCUGGAUUCAGCGGCGGACGGGUGAGUAAUGCCUAGGAAUCUGCCUGGUAGUGGGGGAUAACGUCCGGAAACGGGCGCUAAUACCGCAUACGUCCUGAGGGAGAAAGUGGGGGAUCUUCGGACCUCACGCUAUCAGAUGAGCCUAGGUCGGAUUAGCUAGUUGGUGGGGUAAAGGCCUACCAAGGCGACGAUCCGUAACUGGUCGGAGAGGAUGAUCAGUCACACUGGAACUGAGACACGGUCCAGACUCCUACGGGAGGCAGCAGUGGGGAAUAUUGGACAAUGGGCGAAAGCCUGAUCCAGCCAUGCCGAGUGUGUGAAGAAGGUCUUCGGAUUGUAAAGCACUUUAAGUUGGGAGGAAGGGCAGUAAGUUAAUACCUUGCUGUUUUGACGUUACCAACAGAAUAAGCACCGGCUAACUUCGUG
rnacentral:rRNA from 1 species